UACGUAGGGGGGCAAGCGUUGUCCGGAAUCGAUUGGGCGUAAAGCGCGUGUGAGGCGGCUCGAUAAGUCUGCUGUGAAAGUCCAGGGCUCAACCCUGGGAUGCGGGUGGAUACUGCCGGGCUCGAGUCCGGAAGAGGCGAGUGGAAUUCCCGGUGUAGCGGUGAAAUGCGCAGAUAUCGGGAGGAACACCAAUGGCGAAGGCAGCUCGCUGGGACGUGACUGACGCUGAGACGCGAAAAGCGUGGGGGAGCAAAACAGG
rnacentral:rRNA from 1 species